UCCUCAGCCACAGCACAUAUGCCUGGGGCUACUGCAGAACAACUGCCCACUGCAUCCCCCUUUGUCCUGCGCAAAGAAUGAAAGAAGGAAAGGAUAUUUGCAGUACUUUUGUAGGAUCAAAUGGUUUCUUAGAGGUUUUCUUUACUGAUUGAAACGACCUUGGCUUCCCUUCCGUGUUAAAAGUUAAUCAUGCUGGUAUUUUGGUGGUGAAAAUAUAAAUGAAGCCUCAUUAGAACAAAGUACAUGCAGGAUCGUGUUAUGGCGGAUGUUUAGCAGAGUGUAUGAACUCCAACAGGAGCUAUUGGAUGAGCAUGUGUGCUACGAGUCUGAGUUUGUAGAUCUCGGCAGUCAAUGACAUCUUGUACUGCUGCAUCCUUGCUUAAAUUGUGCUGUGUAGCAAAAUAUCAGCAAAUGGCUCAGCUGACAAAAUGUCAGUCACAAACCUCAGCAUUUUGCACCUGGCUAUGGAACCAUCUGCAUUAAUAGCACAGUAAAAAUUGUUUACUGAUCUUGCACCUGCUGCUAAUGACCAGCAUAAAUAACUGGUCAAUACACCUGGCAUGAGGAACUUAUCUGAGUGUUCCACUUUUGGAGUUGAAAAUUAAACUAUUGUGUCAAAAAUCA